rnacentral:rRNA from 1 species
CAGGCCAGCAUCAGUUUUCCCCGGGGGAUAAAGGCGGCGGGAAUGUGGCUCUCUUCGGGGAGUGUUAUAGCCCGCCGUGUAAUACCCUGGGGGGGACUGAGGUUCGCGCAUCUGCAAGGAUGCUGGCGUAAUGGUCAUCAACGA